rnacentral:lncRNA from 1 species
AAAGAAACGUCAAAAGAAUUACAAAUAAAUAAUAAGAAAUCUUUAAAAAAUAUUAGAAUGAUCACAAAUAUAUCUCAAAUACAUCUCAAUUCAAUCUUAAUUUAAUCCUAGUUAAAAUCCUAUUGGACUUCAUUCAAACUUUAGGUCAAAAAAUAACUAAAUCUCAAACUCUAAAUAAAUCCAAAUUAAAUCCUAAAUCCUAAAUCAAAUCCUAACCAAAUUCUAAAUUCUAAAUCAAUUCUUAAUCAAAUCCUAAUCUUAAAUCAAAUUCCAACCAAAUCCUAAAUCUUAAAUCAAAUCCUAACUAAAUCUUAAUCGUAAAAUAAACCUUAACCAAACCCUAAAUCCUAAAUCAAAUCCUAAUCAAAUUCUAAAAUUUAAAUCAAACCCAAAUCAAAUCCUAACCCUAAAUUAAAUCCUAA